UACGAAGGCAGCAGUGGGGAAUAUUGCACAAUGGGCGAAAGCCUGAUGCAGCUAUGCCGCGUGUAUGAAGAAGGCCUUAGGGUUGUAAAGUACUUUCAUCGGGGAGGAAAAACAAAACUAAUAAUUUUAUUUCUUGACGUUACCCGAAAAAGAAGCACCGGCUAACUCCGUGCCAGCAGCCGCGGUAAUACGGAGGGUGCUAGCGUUAAUCAGAAUUACUGGGCGUAAAGAGCACGUAGGUGGUUUUUUUAAAGUCAGAUGUGAAAUCCCUGGGCUUAACCUAGGAACUGCAUUUUGAAACUGAAAUACUAGAGUAUCGUAGAGGGAGGUAGAAUUCUAGGUGUAGCGGUGAAAUGCGUAGAUAUCUGGAGGAAUACCUGUGGCGAAAGCGGCCUCCUAAACGAAUACUGACACUGAGGUGCGAAAGCGUGGGGAGCAAACAGGGAUUAGAUACC
rnacentral:rRNA from 1 species